CAGCAGCCGCGGUAAAACGUAGGGGGCAAGCGUUAUCCGGAUUUACUGGGUGUAAAGGGAGCGCAGGCGGUGCGGCAAGUCUGAUGUGAAAGCCCGGGGCUCAACCCCGGGACUGCAUUGGAAACUGUCGUACUUGAGUGCAGGAGAGAAAAGUGGAAUUCCUAGUGUAGCGGUGAAAUGCGUAGAGAUUAGGAGGAACACCAGUGGCGAAGGCGGCUUUUUGGCUUGUAACUGACACUGAGGCGCGAAAGCGUGGGGAGCAAACAGGACUAGAGACCCGAGUAGUCCCUGUCUCUUAUAC
rnacentral:rRNA from 1 species